AAACAGAAGAAAGCCAGGCUCUCAUAUGUCCAGUGUGUCUCAUAAACACAGCCGGUCUCACUAUAUACCAGGAAAUGACGCUCCCGCUGGUUGCUGAAGGAGAAGGCUGGCAUGGAGUGUUGUACGAGAGAUCUGGGAGGAGGAACCCAUGUUGACCUUGACUUGGCCUUCAGGGUAUCAUGCUUAUGCUGCCUAUGCUGGAGACUACCAAUUCUGAGGAUGAGUAGGACUUCAGAAUGUGGCUGUAUUUGGAGCUGCGACUUUUAAUGAGGAAAUUAAGGUAAAACAAGGUCUUUGGGGGUGGACCCUCAUCAGCAUGGCUGGUGUCCCUAUACGAAGAGGAAAUACAGACAAGGAUAUGAUCUGAGGGAAGAACAUGUGAGGACACAGGAGAAGGUGGUCGUCUAUCAGUCAAGCAGGGAGGCCUCAGAAGAAGCUAAUCUUGUGAAUAUUUGAUCUUGGGCUUUCAGUUUUCAGUUUCAGAACUGUGAGAGAAUAAAUGUUUGUUUAAGCUGCCUAAUCAGUGGUAUUUGUUACGCGGCUGAGCUGAGGAAUACAAGAAUGAUGAGAAG